ACGCGAGGAACCUUACCAGGUCUUGACAUCCUCUGACACUCCUAGAGAUAGGACGUUCCCCUUCGGGGGACAGAGUGACAGGUGGUGCAUGGUUGUCGUCAGCUCGUGUCGUGAGAUGUUGGGUUAAGUCCCGCAACGAGCGCAACCCUUGAUCUUAGUUGCCAGCAUUUAGUUGGGCACUCUAAGGAGACUGCCGGUGACAAACCGGAGGAAGGUGGGGAUGACGUCAAAUCAUCAUGCCCCUUAUGACCUGGGCUACACACGUGCUACAAUGGACGGUACAAACGGUUGCCAACCCGCGAGGGGGAGCUAAUCCGAUAAAACCGUUCUCAGUUCGGAUUGUAGGCUGCAACUCGCCUACAUGAAGCCGGAAUCGCUAGUAAUCGCGGAUCAGCAUGCCGCGGUGAAUACGUUCCCGGGCCUUGCACACACCGCCCGU
rnacentral:rRNA from 1 species